rnacentral:rRNA from 1 species
UACGGAGGGUGCUAGCGUUGUUCGGAAUUACUGGGCGUAAAGCGCGCGUAGGCGGCCUGACAAGUCAGAGGUGAAAGCCCAGAGCUUAACUCUGGAAUUGCCUUUGAAACUGUUGGGCUGGAGUCAAGUAGGGGAUAGUGGAAUUCCUAGUGUAGAGGUGAAAUUCGUAGAUAUUAGGAGGAACACCGGAGGCGAAGGCGACUAUCUGGACUUGUACUGACGCUAAGGCGCGAAAGCGUGGGGAGCAAACAGG